CCGAUUCUGUGUCUCCCUCUCUCUCUGCCCCUCCCCCGUUCAUGCUCUGUCUCUCUCUGUCCCAAAAAUAAAUAAAAGUUGAAAAAUAUUUACUUUUGAGAAGAGACAGAGAGCAUGCGAGCAGGGAAGGGUCAGAGAGAGAGGGAGACACAGAAUCCGAAAUAGGCUCCAGGCUCCAAGUUGUCAGCACAGAGCCUGACACGGGCUCAAACCCACACACGGUGAGAUCAUGGCCUGAGCCAAAGUUGGAUGCCCAACCGAUUGAGCCACCCAGGUACCCCAAAUAGGUAAAUAUUAAAAAAAAAAAAAAAAACAGAACAAACCUAACAGAACCCUUCUGUCAGAGUGUUGUGGUUGAAUCGUGUCCUCUCCCCCCAGUUCAUAUGCUGCAAUCCUAGCCCCCAGUACCUCAGAAUAUAAUUGUGUUGGGAGCUAGGGUCUUUAAAGAGGUGAUUAAGUUAAAAUGAGGUCAUUAGGGUGGGCCCUAAUUUAAUAGGACUGGUGUUCUUCUAAGAAAAGGUCAUUAGACACGGACACGCAGCCGGACGACCACACGAGAAGACAGGGAGAAGACGGCCAUCGACACGUCAAGGAGAGAGGCCUCAGGAGGAGCCAACCCUGCUGACGCCUUGCUCUCCGACCUCCAGCUUCCAGAACCAGGAGGCGAUAAAUGUCUGUUGUUGAAGCCUCCCUCCCCGUGUGUGGUACUUUGUUGCAGUGCCCCCCAGGAAACACAUAUGCAGCGUGACAAUCCUCACCCCUCAUUUCCACUCCUCUUGUCACCAAAGAUCGAACCGAACACAUUCUGCCCGUGCUCUGGAAUCCAUGAUGGGUCUGCAGCUCCGCACCCGCCAGCAGAGGCGGGGCCAGUGUUCUUCUGGGGGAGAGAUAUUCUUUCCUGCUCACUCAAACCCUCGCGAAUGACACCUUCAACAGCCACUUCAACCCACAGCUCUCCCUUCCCCGAACCCCUGUCGUCUGGGAGCCUUAGUAUUUUCUCCCCGCUUCAUGCGCGUUUAUCUUGUGGCCUCCAUGAGAAGAUGGUCCUUGUGUUGUUGGAGGAGGCGGCCGCACGGUUGGGUUCUGAAGUCACAUGUCAACCAACGAAAGACAAAGGACAAUCUCCUGCUGCAGGAAGUUCAAAGGGCAGCUUUUUCGUGGUCGAUGAAGGAGCAUCACCAUGAUGUCUGGUAUCUAGAGGGAACAGCCCUCUAGGACGAGCCACCUAGAUUGACUUCACCUACAGGCGUCAAGUCAACCAAGAGCCGGCAAUUUUGGUGAUGUGACAUUUAAAAAAAGAUUUCUCGGGGCGCCUGGGUGGCGCAGUCGGUUAAGCGUCCGACUUCAGCCAGGUCACGAUCUCGCGGUCCGUGAGUUCGAGCCCCGCGUCGGGCUCUGGGCUGAUGGCUCAGAGCCUGGAGGCUGUUUCCGAUUCUGUGUCUCCCUCUCUCUCUGCCCCUCCCCCGUUCAUGCUCUGUCUCUCUCUGUCCCAAAUAAAUAAAUAAACGUUGAAAAAAAAAAUUUAAAA
rnacentral:lncRNA from 1 species